rnacentral:rRNA from 1 species
UGGGGAAUUUUGGACAAUGGGCGAAAGCCUGAUCCAGCAAUGCCGCGUGUGUGAAGAAGGCCUUCGGGUUGUAAAGCACUUUUGUCCGGAAAGAAAUCCUUGGCUCUAAUACAGUCGGGGGAUGACGGUACCGGAAGAAUAAGCACCGGCUAACUACGUGCCAGCAGCCGCGGUAAUACGUAGGGUGCAAGCGUUAAUCGGAAUUACUGGGCGUAAAGCGUGCGCAGGCGGUUUGCUAAGACCGAUGUGAAAUCCCCGGGCUCAACCUGGAACUGCAUUGGUGACUGGCAGGCUAGAGUAUGGCAGAGGGGGGUAGAAUUCCACGUGUAGCAGUGAAAUGCGUAGAGAUGUGGAGGAAUACCGAUGGCGAAGGCAGCCCCCUGGGCCAAGUACUGACGCUCAUGCACGAAAGCGUGGGGAGCAAACAGGAUUAGAUACCCCUGGUAGUCCACGCCCUAAANGAUGUCAACUAGUUGUUGGGGAUUCAUUUCCUUAGUAACGUAGCUAACGCGUGAAGUUGACCGCCUGGGGGAGUACGGUCGCAAGAUUAAAACUCAAAUAAUUGAC